rnacentral:rRNA from 1 species
GAUGAACGCUGGCUACAGGCUUAACACAUGCAAGUCGAGGGGAAACGACGGGGAAGCUUGCUUCCCCGGGCGUCGACCGGCGCACGGGUGAGUAACGCGUAUCCAACCUGCCUCUGACUGAGGGAUAACCCGUCGAAAGUCGGCCUAAUACCUCAUGGCAUCGUCUGCGGGCAUCCAACGACGAUUAAAGAUUUCAUCGGUCAGGGAUGGGGAUGCGUCUGAUUAGCUUGUUGGCGGGGUAACGGCCCACCAAGGCUACGAUCAGUAGGGGUUCUGAGAGGAAGGUCCCCCACAUUGGAACUGAGACACGGUCCAAACUCCUACGGGAGGCAGCAGUGAGGAAUAGUGGUCAAUGGGCGGGAGCCUGAACCAGCCAAGUAGCGUGCAGGAUGACGGCCCUAUGGGUUGUAAACUGCUUUUAUGCGGGGAUAAAGUGAGGGACGUGUCCUUCAUUGCAGGUACCGCAUGAAUAAGGACCGGCUAAUUCCGU